GAUGAACGCUAGCUACAGGCUUAACACAUGCAAGUCGUGGGGCAGCAUGGUCUUAGCUUGCUAAGGCCGAUGGCGACCGGCGCACGGGUGAGUAACACGUAUCCAACCUGCCGUCUACUCUUGGACAGCCUUCUGAAAGGAAGAUUAAUACAAGAUGGCAUCAUGAGUCCGCAUGUUCACAUGAUUAAAGGUAUUCCGGUAGACGAUGGGGAUGCGUUCCAUUAGAUAGUAGGCGGGGUAACGGCCCACCUAGUCUUCGAUGGAUAGGGGUUCUGAGAGGAAGGUCCCCCACAUUGGAACUGAGACACGGUCCAAACUCCUACGGGAGGCAGCAGUGAGGAAUAGUGGUCAAUGGGCGCAGGCCUGAACCAGCCAAGUAGCGUGAAGGAUGACUGCCCUAUGGGUUGUAAACUUCUUUUAUAAAGGAAUAAAGUCGGGUAUGUAUACCCGUUUGCAUGUACUUUAUGAAUAAGGAUCGGCUAACUCCGUG
rnacentral:rRNA from 1 species